rnacentral:lncRNA from 10 species
AGUUUCCAUGGUGAGAUGGUCAACAAGCCUGUAAGUUCCUCAGCUACGACUACCAGGUACCUCGGGUUCCUCCCUCCUCCGAGAGACCGCCGAGGUGCGGGCUGUGAGAGGGGGAGCGUGGAGCCUCCGAGGCCGAGGGAUCAGUGUCCUUCAGUGAUGUGGCUGUGGGCUUCACCCAGGAGGAGUGGCAGCAUCUGGACUCUGCUCAGAGGACCCCGUACAGAGACAUGAUGCUGGAGAACUACAGCCUCCUCCUCUCAGUGGACUGCUGCAUAGAUGAUGACCUGAUGGAGAAGAGACAGGAAAAUCAAGACCAGCAUUUGCAGAAAGUUGAUUUUGUCAACAAUAAAACACUGACUAUGGACAGAAAUGGUGUAUUAGGAAAAACAUUUUCUCUUGACACAAACCCCAUUCUAUCAAGAAAAAUACGUGGCAACUGUGACUCAUCUGGAAUGAAUUUGAAUAAUAUUUCAGAAUUAAUUAUUAGUAAUAGAAGCUCCUUUGUAAGGAACCCUGCUGAGUGUAAUGUACGUGGGAAAUUUCUCCUCUGUAUGAAGCGUGAGAAUC